UUUUAGUUCAUCACGUACUUUGGCUCUGAGCUAUUUUAUAAAAAUCAUAUGAGGUAUCAUUUGAGAAGAAAGUGUAUAAGGACCUGUGUGUGUGUGUGUGUGUGUGUAGGGAGGAUUAGUCCUUAUCUUUUACUGUAGGAUGUCACUAGGCAAAUACCAUAUAUUGUUACAGUGAUAAGCUAAGCCUUAGCCUCCCCUGGAAAUAGAAAGGUAAUUAACAGGAGAAACUGCUCAUGGAUUUGAGAGUAGUUGCUCCUGGGGAACAGGAUUCCGGAGCAGGAAGAUGACUUCCGGAAACUGUUUGACCUUUUGAAUUUCCUGCAUUUAUAUAUUCUUUGUUUUUUAUUUUUAUUAUUAUUUUUUUUUAUUUUUUUACAGGCAGAGUGGACAGUGAGAGAGAGAGACAGAGAGAAAGGUCUUCCUUUGCCGUUGGUUCACCCUCCAAUGGCCGCCGCGGCCAGCGCGCUGCAGCCAGCGCACCGCGCUGAUCCGAUGGCAGGAGCCAGGUGCUUCUCCUGGUCUCCCAUGGGGUGCAGGGCCCAAGCACCUGGGCCAUCCUCCACUGCACUCCCUGGCCACAGCAGAGGGCUGGCCUGGAAGAGGGGCAACCGGGACAGAAUCCGGCGCCCCGACCAGGACUAGAACCUGGUGUGCCGGUGCCGCUAGGCGGAGGAUUAGCCUAGUGAGCCGCAGCACCAGCCCUCCGGGCCGGUUUUACAAGAGCACUGACCCCACAGCACGAGGGCCUCACUCUGUGGAUGCAUCUAAUUAGUCCCAAAGCCCUCACCCCCUAAUACCAUCAACCUUGUGGAGUUAGGAUUUCAACAUCCAAAUUUUCUAGAGACAGACAUUUAGACCAUAGCAGAAAGGCUCAAGUCACCCAGUUUAAUACACGCACUAGGAUUCAAACUCACAUCGUUGACUGCAACGCUAAUGGUCCCUACACGUGAACCACACUGGGGAUGCAGAUGCGCCACAGCGACGGGCCCCACUGGAUCACUUGCCCCUGACAAUGACACGGGUUGCAAGGGACCAUAGAGUCAACCUGGCAUUUGGCUGUGAACACCUCAAGAACCAGAUGUGAAGGGACAUGGCGGCCACUGACUGGGGCAUUUGGACCCCUGCUGCUUGCACUUUCUUGCCUGCAUGCCCCUCCCCAGACUACUCUGUGGUGGCCACCAGGGAUAAAAGCAAGCAACCUACUGGCCGCUCCUGGAAGGCGUUGACGGUCAAGUGCAAGUAUCAGCCAAGGGUCCCAGUCCAUGCAGCACAUUUAGCCAAAGAAGGAUGAGCAAGUGGUUCAUGAUGCCAGAGGCUAGGAUCGGGGGUGCUGCUCCCUGGUGGGAGCUUUGAUGAGGGCUCAGAGCCUGGGAGGGGCAUCCCACAGGUUUCACUUGCUCCUACUCAGGUCACAGAUUGACCACAAUGAGUGGCUUCUCUGUCUACGUCUUUUGCUCUGUGACUCCCACCAUGCCAGGCAGUCUUGACUGGCCCCUUAAUUUGGGGCAGCCCUGGGCUCUGUGCACCUCGGACACUACAGGCAAGCCUUGGGGAACCCAGGCGGCUCUGCCUCACAUCCAGCACCUGGGGCAAGCCUCAGGAUGAGUCUCCUGGCACACUGGACUCCAGGGAUCCUUGAGGUAGGACUCCGAUCAGGUUCAGGACAGACAGAGGCUGGCCUGGCUGACUGGAAACCACAAAGUCAAGGUAGAGCUCGGGGGAGGCAGAUACAAGACACGGGCCUUGUGGCUGUGCAAGGCCGCAGUCAUGACACAAAGGCCAUGUCGCUGACCACUGCUCGGUCCUGGUAGGGGCAGAACUUUCUAGGUUGGAGCGGGCAUGGCUGUGUUGAUGGCCACAACUGAUGGCUCUCUGUAGCCACCCUUUGCUGUUGACCCCAGCUGCAGCCAUCAGCAGUGGAGGCUGUGUCCCCACCUCUGGAUCUGGGCUGGACCUUAUGACUUGCUUUGGCCCGGAGAACAUAGCUCAGGGGCCAGUGUGGCAGCUUCUCUGGGCUAGGUCUUGUAGGGAAGGCAACAGUCUCUUUGUACCCACCUUAGGGUUUCAACCUGUGCUCUUUAACCAGAUGGCCAGAGAAAGCAAGCUGGCGAUGCCAGCAGUAAGAAAUCCUGGGAAGCGGCAGUGACAAGUAACUCAAAGCCGUGGCUUUGCCCGCCAGCUUACACAGCAUCUUUGAGGAGAACAAUACGUUUACAGAGAAAGGAGCGGGCGGAGCAAAGUGGUUUUAGGCUUUUAAGGGUGGGAAGCCGUGCAAGGUGAAUCUAUGAGAGGACAUUAGCGGAGAAAAGCUUGUCUGCAGAUUCCCCUGGGGUCCUCUCUGGGGCUGAUGAGAUUUAGCGAUGCCUGCAGCAAAGGAGAAUUUAUAUCCUACCUCUAGACAGACGAGGGGGAGGGCGGAGACAGCUUUCCUGGCAUUGGCGACUUCUUAAUCGCCUUCGGUGGAACAUGAUGUUUAUGUCAAAGAGGCCCAUUUUGGGGUGACACAACCUGAUUUCCUUCAACCUCAAGAGAGGCUGCAUGCUUGCCCAUCUCUUGGGACCCCUGCCUGUGACAGGGAAACAAACACAGCAGCUGUUUCAUCGAGCUGUCCCCUCCAGGCUGACCCCGAGCAGCCAGCCUCUCACCAGCCCGGAGACCAAUGGGCACCUGCCACUCUGCCACGUUCUCCUGGCCAGAGCAAGUCACAGGGCCGGCCCGGACUCAGAUGGAGAAAUGGCCUCCAGCUCUUGAGAGGAGGUGCAGCGCUUUGUUUUUCGAAAGAAUCAACUCUGCUUCAUGUGUUUUAUUUUGUUGUCCGUUCUUCCACAGACUUCGAGUUUCAGCUUUGUAGAGGAUAGAUGUUCCAGCCUCCACUGACAUAACUACCUAAUAUUUAAAUCAACCAAUACCAUACCUAGAAAGACAAGUAAGUCUCAUGAAUAACACAUAUUUUAAGACAAAAAAGUAAUGUGUUUCUUAACUCCCAGAACAUAAUAUAUCAGUAGAAUUUUAAAAACGAAAUUAAAAGAAACAGGUAGGGACCAGCGCUGUGGCGUAGCGGGUAAAGCCGCCGCCUUCAGUGCUGGCAUCCCAUAUGGGCGCCAGUUUGAGUUCCAGCUGCUCCACUUCGGAUCUAGCUCUCUGCUAUGGCCUGGGAAAGCAGUGGAAGAUGACCCAAGUCCUUGGGCCCCUGCUCCCACAUGAGACAUGGAAGAAACUCCUGGCUUCAGAUCGGCACAGCUCUGGCCGUUGCACUGGGGAGUGAACCAGUGGAUGGAAGACCGACCUCUCUCUCUCUCUCUCUCUCUCUCUGCCUCUUGCUGGCUCUCUGUAGCUCUGCCUUUAAAAUAAAUAAAUAAAUCUUUUAAAAAAACAAACAAAAAAGCAACAACUAAAAAUCAUUUUAGCCAUAAUAUUCUGCUUACCUCUAUACUAUGAUUUUAACAUGUAAUCAAUAUAAAAAUUAAUGAUACAUCUUAGUCUUCAAAAUCCAGUGAGCGUGCCACACUGACAGCAGGUCUCCAUUCAGACCAGCCUUAUUUCUGGCACUCAGUGGCCACAAGUGGCUGGUGACUGUAUUGGACAGUGCAGGGUUGACACUCCAUUCUUGUUCCUUUCUUAAAACAUUUUUAUUUGUUUAUUUAAGAGGCAGAGAGACAGAGACACACAUACAGAGUUCCCAUCCUCUGAUGACUCCCCAAAUGCCCACGAUGGACCCUAGCUGAGCCCCAAGCCAGGAGCCAGAAACUCAAUCUGGGUCUUUCAUGUGGGUGGCAGGAGCCGGGUUAUUGAGUCAUCACCUGCAGCACCCCAGAGUCUGCACUAGCAGCUCCAGGAAGCUGGGGUUAGGAACUAGAGCCUGGAGUCGCAUCCGACACUCUGGUGUGGGACGUACAUAACUUAACUGCUGGGCCAAAUGCUCGCCCCCUGUCAUUGCAUUUUUAAACCCUCCUUGCCUUAGGAUAUUUCUAUAUCCAAAUCUCACUAGAGUGGACUACUGGAGAGGAGCACUCCACUUCAUGUCUCCACACUUUGGAAGCACAAAGAACCCACAGAAGUUUGCCUGUGCGAUUGCUUCUAUGCCUUCAAAUUCCGAGCCACUCUCAGCCUUUAGCCUAUGUGAGAAGAAAGUCAGACAUAGAGACUUCCCAUCACAUAGCCCAGAGCACGUGCUGCGUGGGCAGAACUUGUCUUCUCUCUCGGUUACCGACAUUCAGAUAACAUUGACCACUUCUCCGCGUCUGUUUCUUGUGCAUGGAUCCAUGAGAAUCUUGCCACAGCUCAGGGAAGAAUUGUUCCUCCCGAUUUAAGAGAUCAGUUGCGAGUUUCCAUGUGUCAGCCCAGUGCCAGGCCCCAGGGACACAAUCGGGGACAUGGCUGCUGUGGGAGCCCCUACAUCAAUCAUCCCACAGAUAAGCAUGCACUUGAUAAGUGUUGAUUGUGCCUUCAGGAAACAGGGGUGAUGGCGGAGGGCAACGCACUGUAGAAUGGGGAGGCAAGCAAGCUCUCUCUGCAGGGAAACCAUGGUUUGAACAAAUGACGAUGAACGGGAGUUAAUCAAGCGCAGGACAAAGAGGCAGAGGCAGAGAACAGCAAGAACGGGGUCUUGACGCAGGAAGCCUGCACUCUCCUUUAGAACAGAAAGGCUUCUUGGCAAAGCAAGAGACUUGAUCCUGGGAGUCCAGGCUCAUGUGUUAGAAAAAGACCCAAGGAGGUGGCCCAGUUGUGUCUGUAAAAUUCCUAAAAGUAGAAUUGCUGGGCUGAAGAGUCUCCAUGUUCCAGAUAGGAAUCUGCCAAAGCACUCUCAAAGCAAGAGAACUCUCUGGGACAGGGUCAGGAAUGCUGUUCACCCGCUCUUGCCAAAUGCUCCCCCAGCCAACACCACCUGCACGUGGCUAAAUCGAUGGCUUUCAUUUUUACUUAGCUUAUGAGUGAAGAGUGGUAUUUUCCUGUUCCUAAAUUUGCAUUUAUUCAAUUCCUAUGGCAGUUGGGCAUCUUUUCAUGUUUAUUAAUCACCUGCAUUCCUUUCUCUUUAUUCAAGGACGUUGGCCAUUUUUCUGUUCAAUUACUGAUCCCUUUUUUGAUUAUGCUUUACUAUUUUAGUUUCUCUAAUCUCAUUUGUUUUUGAACCCACUGUAGGGUGUUUUCUCUGUAAAACUUCUUUUUUAAAAAAAUUGUAUUUAUUGAAAUGUAACUGAUAGAUGAUAUCCACAUAUAUUUAGUGUGUAGAAUUUAAUUCAUUUGGGUAUAUGCAUACACCUGUAAAAUCGGGUCACACAAUCAUCCCCAAAGGUUUUGCCCUAAUUAUUAUAGCAUUAAAUGUGAAUUAUUUCCUUCUGGC